UAAAGGAUAGAUUGAUUAGAACAACUGAAACAGUGAAGAAAUGAGAAGAGAGCAUGGAAGAGUGGCAGAGGACUGGGAGGCCAGGAAGAAGGAGGCUCAUGAGGCUGUAAUUUGCAGCCUGUGUGAUAAGUCUGCGCUCGUCCUGACUUCACAGAAGGAGCUGAGAACCUUCCAGAGAUCAACUAAAUGCAGUCUUUCAGCCUAGUCCUGCUGUUUCCCCUGCAACAUGAAUUUGAUCUUUUUCCAAUUACUCCUCUGUUACAUUUUAAUAUUAUGUUUAUUGUACCAGGAAACUGUUUGGCCACAGAUGUCAAAUCAGUAAUAAAACAAUUAGAAGAGAAACUGAAGAGCAAAAAAGGUAUUAGAAGAUUUCAAACCAAAGGAACUGAGCAUGUAACAAGCACAGUGAAAUAA
rnacentral:lncRNA from 1 species